AGGAGGCCGAGGCACGGCACUGACGGCUCCGGCCGUGCAUACCAGGAGAGCAGGCGGUGGUCAGGCGCCAGUUCAUUCCUGAGCAGCUGAGGGGCCCGGCGGAGGGGACAGCGGGUGCUGUUGAGGGCCCCCCCUGCCAGCCCCCAGGGGGCCGAUGCAGACUUGCGAUGGGGUGGGGGUUUAGCAAGAGUCCCACCAUGGUCUGAGUCCAGCACAGCCCCACGGGGUGGCACAUGCCACCGGAGAGGUGUCCCCAUCCCAGGGACGAUGCUGGCACCUGCAGCACCGCUCUAGGUGCCCAGGGCUGUCCCCCCUCUGGGGUGGCUGCUCGCCCGCAGCCUCCCCUCUCUCCUUCCCUGCGCUGGCGCUCGGCCCCGCUGCAACCCGCUGACAAAUCCCGCUGGCAGUUCCUAUGGCAGAAGCCACUUCCCCCCCUGCUAAUCCGCCCGUGCGUGCAGCCUCCACCUGCUGAGCCAGCGGGAGCCGUGCUCAGCCGGCCCCAGCCAGCGCCAGGGCUCCGAACCCCGCUCCAGCUGCAGAGACCGUGGGGCAGCGGAGCCUCCGCACCCCGGCCCCGCUGCCGCAGGAGACCCCGGCCCCGCUUGGCACCAGCCGGCGGCACCAGCUGGCACCAGGAGAGCCGAGCCCUCCAGGUCGGCUCGCACAAGGAAGCAGAGGGACGGCGGGGUGCUGGGGAUCCGCAUGGCUCCCUGCGAGCGGUGACGUGCCCGGCUGGAUCCCUGUGCCAACGGGCAGAGCUCAGGAGGUGGUCACAGACACACUCCCCACCUCGUCCCAGCCAGGUCAUCAGCACAGCCACCCACAGGUGCCACAAAGGGACAGAGAGGUGAUUUACACCUGCUGCUGAGGGCUGGCUCAUCUGGAGGAGCUCAAAGACGGUAAGGGGCAUUUGCUACAGAUUUGCUCGUGGGGAAGCCUGGUGAGAAGACCUCCCAUCUUUUAGGCUUGGGGAUUGCUCCUGGAGAAACAUCUCUGGGAGGUGGGAGGGAGUGGUGGCACAGCCCCCUUCUUGGUCCUGGCCAGGGGCUCAGUGCUGAAGGAAGCUGCCUGUCCUGCCUUCGACAGGCCUUCUCUUUUCCUGGUCUCAGGGUCGAGUUAGAGGCAAUUGCAUUUUUUUGGCUGGGAUAUCCUCCCUCAGUGCUGUGGGGCUCCCCAAUGCUAUUUGCUCUGGAUGGGACCUCUGCCCCCUCGGGGAGCCUGCUGCUGUGGGGUACGCGUGGGGAGCACAGUGAUUUGAGCCCAUGGGGGUCUGUAGGUGUUGGGCUGUGGCUGAAGCCAGCGGGGUUGGGUAGGUCUCUGUGCCGAGAGCGGGAGCACUAUCCAUUAAACACAGGAGGAGGCAGACCAACGGCAACACAACCGAGCCAUUAAGAAGCGAUACGCCCUCCCCUGCAGCUUCUCCUUCCCGUCUUCACACCUUCUCCUCGUGGCAAUACAAGGCUGGUGUGACUGCGUGGUGAACCACAGCAGGGAAUUGAUCCGCCGGCGUGUUCCCAGACGGGGAUGUUACCCCAGAGGCAGAGCGGGAGCCGGGUGCCGGGUGAUGGGGGGCAGGAGCCGUGCCCCACAGCGGGUGGAGGGAGCUGCCAUAGGGCCCUGCGCUCGCCCUACCUGGGCUCUGCAGCUGGGCUGGCUCUAAAAGAGGAGCCUCCGACCAGAAACAAAACCCAACAGCAGUAAAUAGCUCCAGCCACUGAUAAACAAACACUAGUCAUUUGCAACCAGCUGUCCCUCCCUUCCUUCCCUGUGGUUGCAAGGUGUGCCAGGAAGGGAUUGCGAGGUGUGGACGUGGAGUGCCAGAAAGUGAUUGCGAGGUGUGGACAUAGUGUG
rnacentral:lncRNA from 1 species